GGGUAGGCCUCUGCUCCCAGGUAACAGCGAUAGCACAGAGGGUCAGGUUGGGCGUUAGGAAACAUUUCUUCCUACAAAGAGCUGUCAGGUGCUGCAAUGGGCUGCCCAAGGAGUGGUGGAGUCACCAUGCCUGGAGGUGUUCAGGGAGCACAGGACUGUUGUACCGAGGGCCACUGGUGGUAGGUGGGCGGUUGGACUGGAUGAUCUCGGAGAUCUUCUCCAGCCUUGGUGGUUCUGUGGUUCUACAUCACUGCCUGUCACUGAGAUCUGUGCAGCCAACACAGAGAUGCCCACAAACAGCUGACACUUCUCCAGACUCAGUGCAGGAAACCCAACCGGACUGACAGAAACAGAUAAAUGUUUGUUCUGCUGCUUCCAAUCGGGCAGGCCGUUGCCCUUAAUUCUGGCAUCCGUCAGCUUCUAUUUGUGUGACUGGAUGAAACACAAACACCAGGCUUGGUGUGGAGCAUCCCUCUGUCGGAUAUGAAGUAAGCAGGCUGCAGGUUUGCUGCUCUUAUAACACGACUCCUUUCCACGCCGGGACCGCUUCACUCUUCCACUGCUGACGCUUUGUCACUUGCAGACUUCCAUUCCAAUCCACAACCUGGAAACAGCAGAUGAUGGGACGAGAAUCAGAAUCGUGAUCAUAGCGAUAGGAGCUCCACUGAGGUUACUGGGACUGAUGGGUGCGUUGGGGAAGGGGAAAUACAGUCUGAUUUGCCACAAGGGGAAAACAACCCAAACACUGAACAAUGCACCAAUAUCAAAUGCUUUGCGUUCCCUCUGUCCCGUUGGUCUGCUCAGUAAAAUUAAGGGAUUAACAGCUACGUGACGCUGUGUUACCCACCAGCACACUUCCACUCCCGAAACUGCACAGCCGUGAACUUUCUCUGCACAAUACGGAAUAUGAGUGGGGUGCUGUUCUUAAUCAUUCUCCGAAGUGUUGGGUGACCGGUGUGCUCAGUCGUUUGGCCACUAACAAUGGCUGAGCUAUUGCAGAUGGCCUGCGGUGAUAAACUGCUUUGUGAAGUAAUGCACUGCAAAUGCCCUCUGCGUUCCAAUGGGUUUUCCUCUCACGGUCCUUCGGUAGUGCCCUGUGGCUCC
ensembl:lncRNA